rnacentral:rRNA from 1 species
GACGUAGGGCGCGAGCGUUGUUCGGAUUUACUGGGCGUAAAGGGCGCGUAGGCGGCGCGGUAAGUCACUUGUGAAAUCUCUGAGCUUAACUCAGAACGGCCAAGUGAUACUGCAGUGCUAGAGUGUGGAAGGGGCAAUCGGAAUUCUUGGUGUAGCGGUGAAAUGCGUAGAUAUCGGGAGGAACACCAAUGGCGAAGGCAGCUCGCUGGGACGGUACUGACGCUGAGACGCGAAAGCGUGGGGAGCGAACAGG